UACGGAGGGGGCUAGCGUUAUUCGGAAUUACUGGGCGUAAAGCGCACGUAGGCGGCUUUGUAAGUUAGAGGUGAAAGCCUGGAGCUCAACUCCAGAAUUGCCUUUAAGACUGCAUCGCUCGAAUCCAGGAGAGGUGAGUGGAAUUCCGAGUGUAGAGGUGAAAUUCGUAGAUAUUCGGAAGAACACCAGUGGCGAAGGCGGCUCACUGGACUGGUAUUGACGCUGAGGUGGCGAAAGCGUGGGGAGCAAACAGG
rnacentral:rRNA from 1 species